GACGAACGCUGGCGGCGUGCCUAAUACAUGCAAGUUGAGCGCUGAAGGUUGGUACUUGUACCAACUGGAUGAGCAGCGAACGGGUGAGUAACGCGUGGGGAAUCUGCCUUUGAGCGGGGGACAACAUUUUGAAACGAAUGCUAAUACCGCAUAAAAACUUUAAACACAAGUUUUAAGUUUGAAAGAUGCAAUUGCAUCACUCAAAGAUGAUCCCGCGUUGUAUUAGCUAGUUGGUGAGGUAAAGGCUCACCAAGGCGAUGAUACAUAGCCGACCUGAGAGGGUGGUCGGCCACAUUGGGACUGAGAAACGGCCCAAACUCCUAAGGGAGGCAGCAGUAGGGAAUCUUCGGCAAUGGACGAAAGUCUGACCGCGCAACGCCGCGGGAGGGAAGAAGGUUUUCGGAUCGUAAAACUCUGUUGGUAGAGAAGAAAGUUGGUGAGAGUGGAAAGCUCAUCAAGUGACGGUAACUAACCAGAAAGGGACGACUAACUACGUG
rnacentral:rRNA from 1 species